GCCUGUGUGGUCUAGUGGUUUGAACACUAGACAAAAACUCUUGAUGCUAGGGUUCAAAUCCCUGCUUGACU